UGUAUAUAAUAGACAUGCAGUAAAGGAAAUUCCAGCAUAGGAGUUAUUGCCCUUGAUAACCUUUUUUUAAUAAUUUUUUUUAUUAUUAUAGAGAAUUGAUUAUCUAUGGAAAAUAUAAACUUUUUCAGCAUCAAUAUUUACAAUAUUUUUUAUCUUAACAAUUUUGAUUCAGUGGAAGCAAUGGAGUCUUCAGAGUUGUAGUUCUUUUUACAUUUUUCAUGAUUUUCACAAUUCCUCUUGCAGCAUAACUUGUUGGCAGUUUGGAGGACCAAGACCAGUUUUCGGGAGAUGCUGUUUUCCACCACUGGACAGAAUCUGGGUUGCUGCCUCGAAUCCUGCCUGCGGCCUGUUGUUGUAAGAGGUGUCCGUCUCGAUGUAGACUUCGUUUCCUCGGUCGAGAAGUUGGUUCGCGGUACAUCUCUGGUACAUUCGGACAUACCGCUGAUUGUCGAUCAUCGAUGCUAUAUUGAUUUCCUCCACUCAGUCACACAUCUAAUUGAGUUUCCAUUGCAUAACACGGCUGUCAGGUGGAUUUAUGUCCAGGCAGCACAUCAGGAACCGUGCAUCAGACACUCCCAUCUUAGACUUGAUGAGGGCCAGUUCCAAUCCGUCAUUGAGGGCACCUGAUUCCGGUCCUCGUGUCUUCUUGACAGCUGUGUAGAGUUGCAUGUCUGGCUUGGCGGGUCGCAAUUUGGUUGGGAGGAUGAGAUCUUCAGUGGGCAUGCACACAGCAUCCAAGUAUUCGUCAAGACGUGGACGGUUUUAGUCACUUGUACUUGAACCACCAGAUGUAUCAGCGUCUCUGAGGGCACCAGCUCGGGCGUCAGAAUGCUGAGGGAAAUAGCAAUUUUAUGAAAUGCAUUACCAGAUUUUAUAAGAAAAUGCACAACUACCACAUGCAAGGUGAUUUAAGGAACAGUGAUCAAUCUCAUAACUCCUAUAAGCAAUACAAAAUAGAUAGUUGGGCAAACACGGACCCCUGGACACACCAGAGGUGGGAUCAGGUGCCUAGGAGGAGUAAGCAUCCCCUGUGCGGUUUUUUUUAAAUCAGCCUAUCUCAAGCAUUAUUUUGAUCCUCAAUGAUUCUGUGUGUUUAUUUUCUCUUUUCAUUUAGUUCUUAUCUGUAUGUAUAUAAAUUGUGAUAUUUCCAUGUUUUGUGAUAUAUGUUCUCGAUAUGUAUAUAUGUUAUAGACAGGACUACAAUGUAAACUAGUUUAUAUAACUAAUUGUGCAA